GCGAGUGCUAUUUCUACUAAAUUUAAAUAAAUUAUACAUAACCGACAAUGGUGGAUGAACAAGAUGGUACGAACAGGGGCAAUUUGGGGAACUUAUUGUUUUGUCAUUUAAUAACAUAGCAGGUAAGGAAAUCUCUUAUUUGGAAUUUGGAAUACCCUGGACUCUCUGUUUCUAUCUCAUUCUGGCUUCUUCAGUAAUUUAUGUGUCAGCUUUUUCUCGAGUCUCUCCACUUCUUCCGGAAGCUUUGGUUUCUUCUAUUCCAGCGAGAUCUACCUGUUUAAAUCUCAGUGUUUGUCCAUCCUGACUGAUAUCAUAGUGGAAUGCAAGGGAUCCAAUUGUUACAUUUUUGAGAGUUUGUCUUCACGGUGCUUUUGAUCUAAAGGCAUUUUUAGCUAUAAAGUGAGUGUCUUUUUGUUGGCUGCACCACAUUUCAAGAAUAUAGCCAUUAACUCAGCAACUUGAGGGGAGGCGACAGAGAAAAUUAUCAAAAUGCAGAAAGCAAAACAACAAGCAGGCCAAAGGAACAGGAUGGGCUAAUUAUUUGGACAAGAAUUAUAAUUGCAAGGAUAUUAACCAUUCACUGUAGGGAAGUGGCCAACAUACAUUUAAAAUUUCUAGCUUUCUUUAUUUCGGACACUCCGAUCCUUGAGAUCAUCUUUCACACAUAGAUGCAAUGGUUAUUUCUCUUGAAAUCUGAAGACAUUAUGUUGCAGCAUGGACAUUAAGAUUACUAUUGUCAGAAUAGGUAAAAAGGGAGUAGCGAUUGAAAAUUUAAAGAACUAGGAGUUGAAAAGAAGAAUAGUACUUGAAUUUACUUGCGAACUCAAAUCCUUCUCUUUAUACUUUUGCAGCGAGACAUAAAGUAGCGAUUGCAGAGCGCAAUGUGUAUGUGCUAGCAAUUACUAUACUACCAAACUAUUUAACGUCUUCCUGAGUACCCAUGCAAAUUGGACUUACUAUCUGUUGAUACGGAACUCAUAGUUUGUUAGGCGUACAAACAGUAUUUAGCGUUGUGGGUCUUUGGCGAAUUACACUACUGGUGCCACUUCUUUGGUUUGUUUUUCCCUAUUCUCCUGCUGAUAGUUCUACUAAUCUUCCUCAACAUAA